rnacentral:rRNA from 1 species
GAUGAACGCUGGCGGCGUGCCUAAUACAUGCAAGUCGAGCGGACGGACGAGAAGCUUGCUUCUCUGAUGUUAGCGGCGGACGGGCGAGUAACACGUGGAGAACCUACCUAUAAGACUGGGAUAACUUCGGGAAACCGGAGCUAAUACCGGAUAAUAUUUUGAACCGCAUGGUUCAAAAGUGAAAGACGGUCUUGCUGUCACUUAUAGAUGGAUCCGCGCUGCAUUAGCUAGUUGGUAAGGUAACGGCUUACCAAGGCAACGAUGCAUAGCCGACCUGAGGGGGUGGUCGGCCACACGGGAACUGAGACACGGUCCAGACUCCUACGGGAGGCAGCAGUAGGGAAUCUUCCGCAAUGGGCGAGAGCCUGACAGAGCAACGCCGCGUGAGUGAUGAAGGUCUUCGGAUCGUAAAACUCUGUUAGUAGGGAAGAACAUAUGUGUAAGUAACUGUGCACAUCUUGACGGUACCUAAUCAGAAAGCCACGGCUAACUACGUG